UCUACAAGCCAUACCACCCUGAACACGCCCAAUCUCAUCUGGUCUCAAAAGCUAAACAGGGUUGAGCCUGGUUAGUACUUGGAUAGGAGACAAAUUUUCAGACUCUUCUGCUCAGAGAC
rnacentral:rRNA from 1 species